UAUCUCUGUAGAGUCUGCAUAUCAAUAAGCGGAGGAAAAGAAACUAACAAGGAUUCCCCUAGUAACGGCGAGUGAAGCGGGAAGAGCUCAAAUUUGAAAUCUUAAAGGGUUUCCCUUUACGAAUUGUAGUUUAAAGAAGUGUUUUCUGUUGAGGUUUUGGUAAAAGUUCUUUGGAAUAGGACAUCAUAGAGGGUGAGAAUCCCGUAUUUGACCUUUACUUUCAACUUUGUGAUACACUUUCAAAGAGUCGGAUUGUUUGGGAAUGCAGUCCAAAAUGGGUGGUAAAUUUCAUCUAAAGCUAAAUAUUGGCGAGAGACCGAUAGCGAACAAGUACCGUGAGGGAAAGAUGAAAAGAACUUUGAAAAGAGAGUUAAACAGUACGUGAAAUUGUCAAAAGGGAAGCGUUUGACACCAGUGUUGUUUUUCUGAAAAUCAAUUAAAGAACUGUUUAUGCUAAGCUGUUUAGACUUUAUCAGCUAACUGUUUAGUUUUGAGCUUUUCUUUAAUGCACUUUUCAGUUAACAAGUCAACAUCAAUUUCUUUUGCUGUAAAAAAGCUUGAGGAAGGUGGCUUGAGAUUCGUCUUAAGUGUUUAUAGCCUCUUGCCUAUGCAGUCGGAGAGAUUGAGGUCUGCAGCGUAGAUCCUUCGGGGCUAAAUGCAUUUGUGCUAAGUUAUAGCAUUUUAUAGACAACUUGUUGACUAUGAUUUGUCUUGUAGCUUACUCGCUUAUGUUAUUUUACCUACGCUUAGGAUGUUGAAGUCAUCGUAUCGCGC
rnacentral:rRNA from 1 species